rnacentral:rRNA from 1 species
GAUGAACGCUGGCGGCGUGCCUAAUACAUGCAAGUCGAGCGAACAGACGAGGAGCUUGCUCCUCUGAUGUUAGCGGCGGACGGGUGAGUAACACGUGGAUACCUACCUAUAAGACUGGGAUAACUUCGGGAAACCGGAGCUAAUACCGGAUAACAUGUUGAACCGCAUGGUUCAACAGUGAAAGACGGUCUUGCUGUCACUUAUAGAUGGAUCCGCGCCGCAUUAGCUAGUUGGUAAGGUAACGGCUUACCAAGGCAACGAUGCGUAGCCGACCUGAGAGGGUGAUCGGCCACACUGGAACUGAGACACGGUCCAGACUCCUACGGGAGGCAGCAGUAGGGAAUCUUCCGCAAUGGGCGAAAGCCUGACGGAGCAACGCCGCGUGAGUGAAGAAGGUCUUCGGAUCGUAAAACUCUGUUAUUAGGGAAGAACAAAUGUGUAAGUAACUAUGCACGUCUUGACGGUACCUAAUCAGAAAGCCACGGCUAACUACGUG